AGUGAACGCUGGCGGUAGGCCUAACACAUGCAAGUCGAACGGCAGCACAGGAGAGCUUGCUCUCUGGGUGGCGAGUGGCGGACGGGUGAGGAAUACAUCGGAAUCUACUUUUUCGUGGGGGAUAACGUAGGGAAACUUACGCUAAUACCGCAUACGACCUACGGGUGAAAGCAGGGGACCUUCGGGCCUUGCGCGAUUGAAUGAGCCGAUGUCGGAUUAGCUAGUUGGCGGGGUAAAGGCCCACCAAGGCGACGAUCCGUAGCUGGUCGGAGGGGGUGAUCAGCCACACUGGAACUGAGGCAGGGUCCAGACUCCUACGGGAGGCAGCAGUGGGGAAUAUUGGACAAUGGGCGCAAGCCUGAUCCAGCCAUACCGCGUGGGUGAAGAAGGCCUUCGGGUUGUAAAGCCCUUUUGUUGGGAAAGAAAUCCAGCUGGCUAAUACCCGGUUGGGAUGACGGUACCCAAAGAAUAAGCACCGGCUAACUUCGUGCCAGCAGCCGCCGUAA
rnacentral:rRNA from 1 species